CGUAAGGUGGAGCUAAUCUGUAAAGUUGGUCUCAGUUCGGAUUGAGGGCUGCAAUUCGCCCUCAUGAAGUCGGAAUCACUAGUAAUCGCGAAUCAGCCAUGUCGCGGUGAAUACGUUUCUCGGUCUUGUACACACCGCCCGUCAAACUAUGAGAGCUGGUAAUAUCUAAAACCGUGUUGCUAACCGCAAGGA
rnacentral:rRNA from 1 species